GAUGAACGCUGGCGGCGUGCCUAAUACAUGCAAGUCGAGCGAACAGACGAGGAGCUUGCUCCUCUGACGUUAGCGGCGGACGGGUGAGUAACACGUGGAUAACCUACCUAUAAGACUGGGAUAACUUCGGGAAACCGGAGCUAAUACCGGAUAAUAUAUUGAACCGCAUGAUUCAAUAGUGAAAGACGGUUUUGCUGUCACUUAUAGAUGGAUCCGCGCCGCAUUAGCUAGUUGGUAAGGUAACAGCUUACCAAGGCAACGAUGCGUAGCCGACCUGAGAGGGUGAUCGGCCACACUGGAACUGAGACACGGUCCAGACUCCUACGGGAGGCAGCAGUAGGGAAUCUUCCGCAAUGGGCGAAAGCCUGACGGAGCAACGCCGCGUGAGUGAUGAAGGUCUUCGGAUCGUAAAACUCUGUUAUUAGGGAAGAACAAAUGUGUAAGUAACUAUGCACGUCUUGACGGUACCUAAUCAGAAAGCCACGGCUAACUACGUG
rnacentral:rRNA from 1 species